UACGGAGGGUGCGAGCGUUAAUCGGAAUUACUGGGCGUAAAGGGUGCGUAGGUGGUUGAUUAAGUCAUUUGUGAAAGUGCUGGGCUUAACUUCGGACGGGCAGGGGAAACUGGUUGACUAGAGUGUGGUAGGGGUAGAGGGAAUUUCCAGUGUAGCGGUGAAAUGCGUAGAUAUUGGGAAGAACACCGGUGGCGAAAGCGCUCUACUGGGCCUGCACUGACACUGAGGGACGAAAGCUAGGGGAGCGAAAGGG
rnacentral:rRNA from 1 species